rnacentral:rRNA from 1 species
GUUGGCUUAGAAGCAGCCACUCAUUUAAAGAGUGCGUAAUAGCUCACUAGUCGAGAGAUCCUGCGCCGAAAAUGUACCGGGGCUAAACUUACCACCGAAGCUACGGAUUUGCAAGUAAUUGCAAGUGGUAGGGGAGCGUCGUAAUCGGGCUGAAGUCGUACCGGAAGGAGCGGUGGACUGAUUACGAGUGAGAAUGUUGGCAUUAGUAGCGAGAUGUAGGUGAGAAUCCUACAGGCCGAAUAUCUAAGGUUUCCUCAGGAAGGCUCGUCCGCUGAGGGUUAGUCGGGACCUAAGCCGAGGCCGAAAGGCGUAGGCGAUGGACAAUCGGUUGAUAUUCCGAUACCACUACCAUCGUUAUUAUCGAGGGUGUGACGGAGAAGGAUAGUGUGUGCUAGCGAUUGGAAAUGCUAGUCUAAGCGUUUAGGAAGUUACAGUAGGCAAAUCCGCUGUAACAAUUCUGAGGCGUGAUGGGGAAGGUCAUUAAGACCGAAGUACAUGAUUCCAUGCUUCCAAGAAAAGCAUCUAGAGAGAGAAGUAGUGCCCGUACCGCAAACCGACACAGGUAGAUGAGGAGAGAAUCCUAAGGCCGGCGGAAGAAUUGCAGUUAAGGAACUAGGCAAAUUGACCCCGUAAGUUCGCGAGAAGGGGUGCCUGCGAGAGCAGGCCGCAGAGAAUAGGCCCAAGCAACUGUUUAGCAAAAACACAGGUCUCUGCUAAAGCGUAAGCUGAUGUAUAGGGGCUGACGCCUGCCCGGUGCUGGAAGGUUAAGGGGAACACUUAGCGCAAGCGAAGGUGUGAACUUAAGCCCCAGUAAACGGCGGCCGUAACUAUAACGGUCCUAAGGUAGCGAAAUUCCUUGUCAGGUAAGUUCUGACCCGCACGAAUGGCGUAAUGACUUGGGCACUGUCUCAACUGCAAAUCCGGCGAAGUUGUAGUGCGAGUGAAGAUGCUCGCUACCCGCGAUUGGACGGAAAGACCCCGUAGAGCUUUACUGUAGCUUAGCAUUGAAUUCCGGUAUUGUCUGUACAGGAUAGGUGGGAGACUGGGAAACUAGGGCGUCAGCCUUAGUGGAGUCAACCUUGGGAUACCACCCUGACAGUACUGGGGUUCUAACAGGACGCCAUGAAGCUGGUGACUGGACAUUGUUAGGUGGGCAGUUUGACUGGGGCGGUCGCCUCCUAAAAAGUAACGGAGGCGCCCAAAGGUUCCCUCAGAACGGUCGGAAAUCGUUCGUAGAGUGCAAAGGCAGAAGGGAGCCUGACUGCGAGACCCACAAGUCGAGCAGGGACGAAAGUCGGGCUUAGUGAUCCGGUGGUACCUCGUGGGAGGGCCAUCGCUCAACGGAUAAAAGCUACCUCGGGGAUAACAGGCUGAUCUCCCCCAAGAGUCCACAUCGACGGGGAGGUUUGGCAC